GAAGUGCGAUAACUCGGGUGAAUUGCGACCGGCGCGAAUCCUCGAAACUUUGAACGCAGAUCGUGCCCCGGCCUCGCGGCCGGGGCGCGUUCGUCCGAGCGUCGCGCGAGACAGAUCCCCGCCCCAGGGCGGGAGACGACGGACCCCGUGCCCCCUCGGGGGCGCGCCGUCCCAGACUCCGACGGACCGAACGACGGUGGGGAGCCGAAGGGCCCCCGGACCAUCGCUGCCGAGGGCCAGUCCCAGAGGAGCGAGGGCCCGGGCCCGCCCGAGGCACCCCCCACGUCCCGGAUCCGUCCCCCCCCCAUACUCUCGACCUCGGAUCGAGCGCGAUUACCCGCCGAAUUUAA
rnacentral:misc_RNA from 1 species